CUACGGGCCGCUGCAGUGAGGAAUAUUGGUCAAUGGGCGCGAGCCUGAACCAGCCAUCCCGCGUGCAGGAUGACGGCCCUAUGGGUUGUAAACUGCUUUUCUAUGCCAAGGAACCUGAUUACGUGUAAUCAGUUGCCGGUAGCAUAGGAAUAAGCAUCGGCUAACUCCGUGCCAGCAGCCGCGGUAAUACGGAGGAUGCAAGCGUUAUCCGGAUUCAUUGGGUUUAAAGGGUGCGCAGGUGGGCUUGUAAGUCAGUGGUGAAAUGCUGCCGCUUAACGGUAGAACUGCCAUUGAUACUGUGAGUCUUGAGUAUGGUUGAGGUAGGCGGAAUGUGUUGUGUAGCGGUGAAAUGCAUAGAUAUGACACAGAACGCCAAUUGCGAAGGCAGCUUACUAAGCCAUUACUGACGCUGAGGCACGAAAGCGUGGGGAGCGAACAGGAUUAGAUACCCUGGUAGUC
rnacentral:rRNA from 1 species